UAAGACGAACCGUGCAAACGUUGUUCGGAAUCACUGGGCUUAAAGGGCGCGUAGGCGGACCACCAAGUCAGGGGUGAAAUCCUGCGGCUCAACCGUAGAAGUGCCUUUGAUACUGGUGGUCUCGAGGGAGGUAGGGGCGUGCGGAACUUCCGGUGGAGCGGUGAAAUGCGUAGAUAUCGGAAGGAACACCGGUGGCGAAAGCGGCGCGCUGGACCUCUUCUGACGCUGAGGCGCGAAAGCCAGGGGAGCGAACGGGAUUAGAUACCCCGGUAGUCCUGGCCCUAAACGAUGGGUACUAGGUAGUGGACUUGACAUGGGUUCACUGCCGAAGCAAAAGUGCUAAGUACCCCGCCUGGGGAGUAUGGUCGCAAGGCUG
rnacentral:rRNA from 1 species